UAAUGAACAAAACAAAAAUGCAAUCUAUGAUGACAAUGUUUUCACACUGUCACAAAUAUACCUGCUAGAAUUCAAUUACACAAGUCCAAUAUCAGAAUUUCCCAGUGUAAAAAAAGAAAAGUGAUUAGAGAAUGAGCAAUGCAAAAGAAGCUGUUCUGAAAGCUUGUUUGCACUUGUCCUUAGAGGAAACGAGAUGUCACGUAUGUGAGCUGUGAAGCUGCUGUUCGCAUACAGAUGUAAGUUUUGUCACCAUGGCAGUAAUCUCCAGGGUUUUUAGUGAAGAAGUACUACAAGUGACUUGGCGACAAAUGAAGUCAAAAGCCCAGUAAAGUGUAUAGGACUGAAAUGAGAGACCAAAAACAGCGAAGCAAUUACCCCACAUGUUUUUGCAAAUUUAACUUGUGUUCCAUGGCAGUAUCUUUAUGUGCAAAAUCUAAUUUCCUAUUUAUUCCUUUUCAUCUACUUGACAUUUUGCACCAAUUUGAAGCGAAUGGGUCGAUCUGCAUCUGAUUUGGUCUUUUCUGGUUAUUAACUUUUUGAAGAAGCGGACUCACAGUCUUAAAAUAUAUUUGAAUAAUUGUGUUUCGCCAGGCCUGUCAGUGGAUGUCUUUGCUGAAAACGGCAAAGAAUAAUGUGUUUUGUAUCUCAGAUUUACACAAGUUUUAAACUAUCAUACUUGUAGGAUCACAAAAUGGAUUACAACUAAUAUGAUUACAAACUAAGAAAGCUCUUAUUAAUUUGUCUUGUCCACAGGCUCCUGAACCUGUCCCUCACCUCCGACCUGGUGCCGGAUCAGGACGUGAUCGAUGUCAUCAUACAUGUGGCCCAAAAUCCGUUGGGAAGACAUUUAGCAUGGAAAUAUUUCCGCGAGAAGUGGGACAUUUUGAAUUCCAGGUAUGGAGAAGCCUUAUUUAUGAACUCAAAAUUAAUCAGCGGCGUGACAGAGUUUCUCAACACUGAGGCUGAGCUGAAUGAGCUGAAAGAGUUCAUCCUCACCAGCAAGGGAGAGUCAGCACCUGCGUUUGCUCGAGCUGUUGAGAUUGUUCAAGCUAAUGUAAAAUGGCACAUCUUGUUCCAGCAACAGUUUUACCCGUGGCUGCAGAAAGCUCCCGAUGGUUAGCCUCUAUUAGCAUGGAAACCCUAUCAGAUAUUUCAAGGCCAGAGACGUGAGGACACUUAUGUGCUA